GCGAGUUACGUGGUGUUUAAAUUUUGUUGGUUAUUUUCUACUAAGGGAAAUUUCUGUAACAAAUUGAUGCAGUGAGAAGCUGCUUAAUUUCCUUACCUGUUUCUGAUAUUUCUGUGCUUACUUUUUAAAAUUGGAAAUGGAGCUGUUAGAAGGAAUUUUGAAAUUAUUUUGAGAACCACAAUAACUUCAUUCCACCUAAUCUAAGAUAAAUAGUCAUUCACAUAUUGUGUGUGUGAAUAAUGUAAUUGUUGGCAGCCUGAGCAGAAUCAGCUACAAAAACUAUCUGAAGUAAAAUAUUUGGUCCAUAUGAAAUGUUUUAUUGUUACACAGGGGUGAAUUUUUCAGUUUAUGUUGACUAUUACGUUUUCCCUGCAAAGGCUAAUAAUACAUGAAAACUCAUCUUUAGUACACUUACUCUUU
rnacentral:lncRNA from 1 species